rnacentral:rRNA from 1 species
AAUGAACGUUGGCGGCGUGGAUUAGGCAUGCAAGUCGUACGCCCCGCAAGGGGCGUGGCGCAAGGGUGAGUAAGGCGACGGCAACCAACCUGGGGGCCGGACAUAGCCGCGGGAAACUGCGGGUAAUAUCCGGCGCCGUCGAUGCGGGGCAUCUCGCGUCGUCGAAAGGUGUGACUCCGCUCCCAGACGGGCCGUCGCGGUAGUAGAUAGAUGGCGGGGUAACGGCCCACCAUGGCUGCGAUGCCUACCGGGCGUGGGAGCGUGGCCCGGCACACUGGGACUGGGACACUGCCCAGACACCUACGGGUGGCUGCAGUCGAGAAUCUUCGGCAAUGGGCGCAAGCCUGACCGAGCGACGCCGCGUGGAGGAUGAAGGCCUUCGGGUUGUAAACUCCUGUCGAGGGGGAACAAGGUGGCGCGAAGAGCGUCGCUUGAGUGAUCCCUGGAGGAAGCACGGGCUAAGUUCGUGCCAGCCGCCGCCGUAAGAC